AGCAGCAUGGCGCAGUGGUAGCGCGCGGGGCCCAUAGACUCAGGCUUGACGGUACCCCGAGGUCACUUGAUCGAAACAAGUUGCUGCUA